CGAAUGCUGACAUAAGUAACGAUAAAGCGGGUGAAAAGCCCGCUCGCCGGAAGACCAAGGGUUCCUGUCCAACGUUAAUCGGGGCAGGGUGAGUCGACCCCUAAGGCGAGGCCGAAAGGCGUAGUCGAUGGGAAACAGGUUAAUAUUCCUGUACUUGGUGUUACUGCGAAGGGGGGACGGAGAAGGCUAUGUUGGCCGGGCGACGGUUGUCCCGGUUUAAGCGUGUAGGCUGGUUUUCCAGGCAAAUCCGGAAAAUCAAGGCUGAGGCGUGAUGACGAGGCACUACGGUGCUGAAGCAACAAAUGCCCUGCUUCCAGGAAAAGCCUCUAAGCAUCAGGUAACAUCAAAUCGUACCCCAAACCGACACAGGUGGUCAGGUAGAGAAUACCAAGGCGCUUGAGAGAACUCGGGUGAAGGAACUAGGCAAAAUGGUGCCGUAACUUCGGGAGAAGGCACGCUGAUAUGUAGGUGAAGCGACUUGCUCGUGGAGCUGAAAUCAGUCGAAGAUACCAGCUGGCUGCAACUGUUUAUUAAAAACACAGCACUGUGCAAAC
rnacentral:rRNA from 1 species